GGUCUAUUAGUCUAGUUGGUUAGGACGUCGGAUUCUGAUCUCCAAUUCAGUUCCUUCCGUAAGCCCAGGUUCGAAUCCUGGAUGGACCU
rnacentral:tRNA from 1 species